rnacentral:rRNA from 1 species
CACGUAGGCGGUCAUGUAAGUGUGGAGUGAAAUCCCACGGCUUACCCGUGGAACUGCUUUGCAUACUGCAUGACUCGAGGACGGUAGGGGAGAGCGGAACUCUUGGAGGAGCGGUGAAAUGCGUAGAUAUCAAGAGGAACACCAAUGGCGAAGGCAGCUCUCUGGUCCGUUUCUGACGCUGAGGUGCGAAAGCUAGGGUAGCGAACG